AUGAAUAAAAACAUUUUUUCACUGUGCCUGAACAAACUAGAGUGACUGCUGAGGCACUUAGUGUGAGAAGAUCUGCAAGGAAAAGGAAACUUCAUUUUUCAAUAAUUAAUUUUUCAUAGAGAUGACUUUUUCUGAAAUGUGAUUGGAGCUGAAGAAAGAAAAAGAGUUGCAAGGAACUAAAAAUUUCUGCAAAGAAGCUUCCUAGAUGCUAUGGAGGAAAGAAUAUAAAAGCCUUCCACAAUUUUGGAGUUUCUCUCCUGAUCCUUAUGCCAAUUCAGGUUUAAGAAGAUAAAGAGACUCCAUGAAUCUUGACAUAUUAAAAGAAGUAUAAUUAUUUUUCUUUCUUAGCACAGAAAAAGCCAUAGGUGUUUAGCAGAGGUAUAAAGGCUUGAAGAAAAAGAAACAUUCUGACAGUGAAACCAUUCAGUAGAUAUAUUCUCUAAGGGAAAUUACAAAUAGAUUAACGAUGUGAAGCAGACCCAGAGAUUUAACUCCUCGAAUAAGCAAAACGAGAGAAGAGGCUAUUGCAAUAACAUUCAAAGUUUCACUGAGUGCAGGUAUUAAUGGAUCAUUUAGCCGGACACAUGUAGUUACAUGUCGUUGUGUUUCACCAAGAUACCCCAUACUGAAUCUAAUAAUAUUCUUGGAUAAAACAUAUCUUCCAGAGAAGGAUCUGAUGACAUAUGUGGUGGUUUCUCCCUGUGAAAGUACUUAGACACUACUUGAAUGACCACUACUGGUGGUUGUGGUAGGGGAAAAAUAGCAGCUUGGUCUCACCAUCAGGAGUUAUUUUGCCAUAUCCACCAGAAAAUGGACCUAAUUACCACCAACGUAUUUGUUCUGGAGCUGACUUGUCAAACAGGCAAAGCCAUCAGCAGUUUGAAUUGACCUCAAGAGACGAGAAGAAAUUUUGCAAACCGAAAUUUGAAUUAGCUUGUACUAGGCAUAACACUUUGAGUGACAUGACGCUGGUGAAAGACUAACGUAGGAAAAUCUUCAAGCCGGAUACAUGUGUUCAAGAGCUCUAACUCUGCAAUGAAAGGAGAGGACGGAGUGCUUAUUGAUUCACAUUACAGAAGCGCAGGAUGUUACUGGCUUUCCCCAUGUACCUUUCAGUGUCGUCUAAGGACAAUCAGCUCUCAAGUUAAGUUACAGCAGCUCCAGGGCCUGAUGCUGUUUCUAACCAUUUGGAGGCAAAACAAGGUAUACAAUAUGUAGUAAUCUGAGUAUUUCAAAUAGUUGGAUUUGUGGAUAUUUUAAUAACAGAAAUUGCCAGCUCUCAUGAAGAUUCAUGAAAGGAAUGAGCAUGUGUUCAUGAAAAUGCUGACAUGUUUGUUGAAAUUGUUCCUGCGUUUCUUGUUAGUUACUAUCUUGUCUCUUUUUGGGGUAUGAGGAGAAAAACAUCUUAAGCUGUGUUACAUUUAGUGUCAUUCAGAUUGAUAUGACAUUUUUUACGAUCUAAUAGCCAUUAAUCUCCUAGUUUCUCACCUUAGUCUAUAUAUAUAAGUAAUUGAAAUCAGUGGUUUUAAUUCAAAAACUUCAAUAAGCUUUUAAUCAAGCUCUUUGGUUACUUCCUUCAUAAUGGUCAGUGAUGUGUGCAUUUCUUAUGUUUGAUCCUUUCAUGUCUUCUGGCUUCUACUAUUGUUGAAGCUUCUGUGAGCCUGAAUGAAGUCUGAGACUGAAAAGACAAUUUGUGGUGUCUGAAUUGUAAUAGUCAAAAAAUCUUCCAGUUCUCUUCAUAGUUGUUUUGAAAUGUGGAAAAUAACUCCCAUGAAAGAUACUACACAUCUGGUUAGUAAGAUCAAUCCGACAGUAACUGCUGGUUAUGGAGACACUAGCAAGCAUUUCUAUGAGUAGCAUUCUAGUCCUCUCUGUUUUAUCUUCAGUUGGCUUAUGUCUGGUCUUUCGCAUUUGUGUGUAAAAUGUCAAGCGUGUUACCAUAAAAAGUAGAAAAAACUCUCACAAAUACCUCUUAGAAAAAUACUUUCUAUGAUAAACUAGUUAUUUUGAUCCUGAUUUCUUACAGCAUUUGUUUCCUAACUUAAAUAUAGUGGAAUCAGCAUUGCAAAUUAGAUUCACACAGUUCAUCAAAAACCACUGGAUUUGGUGAGUAUAAUGUUAAAUCAAAUGACAUUUUCUCCUUAAUGAUGGAGCAAUACAUAAUCAUUAAAAUCCAGAUUAUGUAAUUGCUGGCUUGCAGCCAGAACGUAGAAACCCAUCACCUUGCCAUCUAUGGCGUCUGUGAUGCUUUUCUGCUGUUCAUAAUGCAAUUCAGUGUAUUGCUAUCUUCUGGUAAUGUGGUAUAAAUGCACUUCUCACUUGCUUUGUGGUUUUGUAUAUGUGUAUACUAGAAAGUUGCAUUGAUGGAACAGGAGCCAUCAGCAUUAUAAUCUUCAUUUCUCUUUGACAGCUUUUUCAUCUGCUAAUUUGAGAAAGUAUUAUAUAGCAUUUGUUGUCCUAGGUAUACUUCACAGAAAUGAAUAAUCAAACUGUCCAUUAGUUAGGGAAAUACUGCAUGUUAUUAGCAUUGUACUGUUAGUAGUGAACCGACAUUUCAGUCUGGUCCCUUGUUCAAGCUGAUUUCUUGAUCUCUGACACAACUGGGAGGGGGAAAAGUGCAGACCACUAAAGAACAUUUCAUAAACUCAACACCCACAAAACGCAACUAGGGUAUAUCAGUGUUAUUACCAUGCUUUAAGACUUACAGCAAGCUGGGCAGGGAGGACAGCGGAAGCAAAUGGUGUAGCUGACUGACCACAGUAGGAAAUUUCAGAGGGGCACAGUGAUCCCAGAAUGGUACCUGCUCUUUGGAAACGCGCACAGUGCUCACAGCAAAUUAAAGUGGAAAACCUUUGGCCUGGAUUGUCUUGGCUGAUUUAAUUUAUAUACCUUUUACAACUUAUAUGAUAAUAGGUUACUUAUAUAAUUUUUAUAAUAUAAUAAAGGUUAAUUUUAUACCCUUUCACUGGGUUAGAGGGCUGCCAGGAAUUCUAUAAAGCUUCAUUCUACCAUUCAGACAGACUUUUAUGAUGGAAAAGAGAACCCCAAUCAUGAUAUUUCUGCUUGUGCCAGUCGCAGCUAGCAUACGUUGCUAUUACCAUUAGCUUGUAAGACUCCUGAAAACAGGGCAUGGACAGUGCAUGACAGAAUCAAAGAACUGGCCUUGUCCUUACAAAACUGAGGUGGUUUAGAAACUUACUUAAAAAAAAACUCAUUCAGUUGCCCAAUUUUAUAACAAAUCAAACUCUAUAUUGCUUUUAUAGCUUUAAAGUGUUGGGGAAUGGAAAAAACAUAUUUUGGGUGGCCCCUUUCCCGCAGCUUUAAUUGACUGAGCUUCUGAAGUCCAUUCUGUACCAAGAGAUAGCAUAGUGUUUUUCUGUCCACAUGACUUGGAGCCAGUCCGCCUCAGAGUAAACGGGCCAUGUCCUCACUGAACUGCGUGCGGACCUGUGUCUCCUGUGAUCUAAAACAAAGUUACAAGGGUUUAUACUUUUUCUGUUCAAAGUGAAAUAAGGUGAGGGCUCUCUGCGAGCCACCAGAGUGAUAUUUUCAUACCAGGAAACUGUGAGGGUGUGUAAUGUAUCCUAGGGAAUGGCAGGAAGGCAUGGGGAGGCAUUUUGGGCAUUGGGAGAGAACUGAAAGAUGACAGAGAAGCUAAGACAUGGUGCAAUCUCAUCCAUUCUGUCUUUUAAUAUGCUUAACUGAAACAAGUGGUUCUCAGUGCCAGACCUGGGCCUUAUUUUGCAAAGAAAUGUUUGGAGCACCUCAAAACAGCCCUGGGAGCAGAUGAACAACUAAGGAAUGUGGAGUGCCCUCUUGCCCAUUCCCAUCUCCUAAGUUUAUUGGCAAUGUCACGAGGAAGGGGACAUCUGCUACCUUUUGAAAUAUUCUGCGCAUUUAAAAAAUUUGGUGAGACUUUCAAUCUUGUUAGGGAAGCUUUGCAGAAUGUAUUGCUUUAUUUCCAGUAAUAUAAUGCUAUUUUGGAUCCAACCUGGAUCAGGUUGUGUGAUGAGAGUGCAAAGGCCCUGCAUAUUAUCAGACAAAGGAAACUCUCUUGGAUGUGGAAAGAAUAAUGCUGAUCUGAGGCCUUACUAGAUUUUUGGAAAGUGUAUAGCAAGCUUUCUGAAAUCAGCCAGAGAGAAAACCUAAAAGAGGGCUUAAUCUUCAAAAAAGCUGAAUGCUUUUCCUAGCUAACAGAGAGCUAAGUUUGUUCUGUUCUUGUAAAGCUAAUAUAUUGCUUUUGUUUGUUGAAAAACAUGAUCUAAAAGAAGCUAACUUUUUUUUCAUCCAAAUUCCUGCAAUGCCAUGUUCCUGCACCAUAUUUAGGUCCAAAUUACUGUGGAUUUUUGUGAAAGGAGAAAUGAGAAACCAUUUUUCCUGACAUCAGUAUUUUAUGAUUACUGAAUUGAGCCAUUUAGACGUAUUUGACAUUGUACAGAUAUUCUCUCUCAAAAUAAACUUUUCUGAUUA